rnacentral:rRNA from 1 species
GAGGGGUGCAAACGCUAUUCGGAUUUACUGGGUGUAAAGGGUGUGUAGACGGGUUGUUAAGUUCGUUGUUAAAUCUUCCGGCCUAACCGGAAGCUCGCGAUGGAAACUGGCAAUCUAGAGGAUGGAAGAGAGAAGUGGAAUUCUCGGAGUAGCGGUAAAAUGCGUAGAUCUCGAGAGGAACACCGAUGGCGAAGGCAGCUUCUUGGUCCAUUCCUGACGUUGAGACACGAAAGCGUGGGGGGCAAACAGGAUUAGAUACCCUGGUAGUCCACGCUGUAAACGAUGAUCACUAGAUGUUGGCUCUGUUUUUGCAGAGUUAGUAUCGAAGCUAACGCGUUAAGUGAUCCACCUGGAACUACGAUCGCAAGAUUA